rnacentral:lncRNA from 1 species
GCGGUGACUCGCGUAGUUCACGUUGAAUUGUUGAGGCCGUAUUGUGAAAUUGUGCAGGAGAGUGCAGGAGCGGGGAAGGCGUGCAGCGAAGGAUGGGUAAGUUAUCUGUGAAGAACUCGGUGAUUGUCGAUGAAGCUUUUAUCAAUCGUAUGCGCCACGGAGAACAGGGAGGUGAACUGAUGGACCAGCAGACAUUCCCCGCCGACGUCAGGAGGUCGGUGCCAACCGUGAACGGCGGAGCAGAUCGAUCGAGAAACUGAGGGAUACCUACCCGGCAUAGUUCGAGAAAGAAGAGGGAACGGCCCAUUGAGCCUCCUCUGCAUCUUGGCGGAGAAGGCGUCAGUGGUGGCGUACACGGGUGACGAAAAUUUGGAUCACCCCCAUCAUAACAAGUCCGAAGGAAACGAACGGUGCCGCCUCAGCGUAGUUCGAACGGAAGUCUUGUGGGGAUCCAUGGUUUGGAAGGGAGUCUUGCUGUGGGCGACGGCGCACUUUGUGCUCAAUCAACAAACGGCGCAUUAAGUGCGAAACACGCUGUGGUUUGUGUGUAUCCAUGUGCUCCAAACACCAUUCAAUGCUGAGCGCCAGCCACCUGUAGCCGCGAAGACUGAGGUCGAGAAGCUGGCAAAAGAGUGAAGCUGAGCUGACGUGGAGUCGAUCCCUCCCCCGACGCAGUUUGGCGUGUGUCAGAAUUGAAAUACAGCGCAAUGCGACCGUUUCUACAAA